rnacentral:lncRNA from 1 species
UUUUUUAUUAAAUUUAAAACUACCAAUUUCCGUGAAUUUAAUUGGGACAGAAGAACAACGAAUUUAAAUGUUCAACGAAAUUCAAAUUUUCUUAAGGAAUGUAUGCAAACCUUCCCUAAACCACGAAUUCGAAUUAAAAUAUCCACGAAUAUGCGAGUUUUCCUCAAUCCAUGAAAAUUGGUACCUACGAAAAUAAACGAUACCACAGUAUGUUAAAAU